UACGUAGGGGGCAAGCGUUAUCCGGAUUUAUUGGGCGUAAAGAGCGUGUAGGCGGCUUUACAGGUCCGUUGUGAAAACUCGAGGCUCAACCUCGAGACGCCGGUGGAAACCGUAAGGCUAGAGUCCGGAAGAGGAGAGUGGAAUUCCUGGUGUAGCGGUGAAAUGCGCAGAUAUCAGGAAGAACACCCGUGGCGAAGGCGGCUCUCUGGGACGGUACUGACGCUGAGACGCGAAAGCGUGGGGAGCGAACAGG
rnacentral:rRNA from 1 species